UCUUGUGGCUCAGAUAGUAAAGAAUCUGCCUGCAAUGCAGGAGAUCCAGGUUCAGUUCCUGGCUCUGGAA
rnacentral:tRNA from 1 species